GAUGAACGCUGGCGGCGUGCCUAAUACAUGCAAGUCGAGCGAACGGACGAGAAGCUUGUUUCUCUGAUGUUUGCGGCGGACGGGUGAGUAACACGUGGAUAACCUACCUAUAAGACUGGGAUAACUUCGGGAAACCGGCGCUAAUACCGGAUAAUAUCUUGAUCCGCAUGGUUCAAAAGUGAAAUACGGUCUUGCUGUCACUUAUAGAUGGAUCCGCGCUGCAUUAGCUAGUUGGUAAGGUAACGGCUUACCAAGGCAACGAUGCAUAGCCGACCUGAGAGAGGGGUAGCCGCCACUGGAACUGAGACACGGUCCCGAGUCCUACGGGAGGGACCAGUGGGGGAACUGCCGCAAAGGGGGAAAACCUGACAGAGCAACGCCGCGUGAGGGAUAAAAAUCUUCGGGGCGUAAAAAUCUGUUAUGUGGGGAAAACAAAUGUGUAAGUAAAUGUGCAGAUCUUGACGGUACCUAAUAAGAAAGCCACGGCUAACUACGUG
rnacentral:rRNA from 1 species